UUUACCUGCACGUCUGCCAUCUGGGUUUCCUGUGUCUGCUGAGCUCCCAAUUACUUCUGAAUUCAGUUUCCUUGAAUGUGAUUUUCUUCUUUUAUGGACUGUUUAUUCCUGGACCUUCCAGCUGCCUUCUGUUUCAGUGUUGCUUCCUUUCCAGCUUUGCUCAGAUGCCAUCACUUGUUUUAGGAUUCAUCGCACUAGAGCACACAAUUUUCAACUUCACCCUUUUGAAGGAGAUUUGAAACCUGCAGCUGAUGGGAAUCCGUGAAGAAGAGGAGAGGGUGAUGUCUGAUGAUGAUAUAUACGACUCUUCAGCUACCAUCAGCACAGACUCCAGGACUAAGGUGUUUCCCAAGCAGAAGUCUUAAAGGAGAAGAACAACUCCUUAAGCUGCCAGCUGGAUGCCUCCAGGAACGAGGUGGAGCUGCUCAAACAGGAACAAGGCGAGAACCAAACAAAGAGUCACUCAUAGCAGCUCAGCUUCCUGCAAGGCACGCGAGAGGGAUCGUUUCAGCAUUCCUGCAUGGCCACCUGUUUGGAGCCAGCAUUGAGUACAUCUGUUCCUACCUGCCACGUUUCGACACCAAGGUAACGCACACACACACA